GAGAAAGCACAGGGAGACGGCCGGAUUACGCUCAAACAGACACGAAGCGCGCUUUGGGUGAUUCGCGACCUUAAACCAUUUUCUGGUCAACUGUCACAUGGACUCACGCUAGCAGAAGAAAAACAGUCUCUUGGGGAAAGCAACAAUCAAUGUUUCAUGCAUCUCUGUCCACAGAAUAAGUUGAUUGACAAGCCCGCCGUCUAAUCAAAUCGAAUCGUCGACCAUGAUUGCAACAGGGGGCCUCCUGCGUAUGAACCGGGACUCCCAGCACUCUAAGAACCAAGCUGAGAACAAGAGGAAGAGGAAACAAGCCAAGAGAAAGAAGAACGAUGUAGUU